rnacentral:lncRNA from 1 species
CCACUGGGGGUCUUAGAAUAUAUCCUCUGUGGAUAACAGAGAGACAACUAUACAUUAUGUAAAAUAAUGUAUAAUGUGCUUAAUUAUUACUGUGUCUAAGGUCAACAAUGUCUUGCCAUGUAUUUAAUUUAUAGAUUAAAAUUUAUUAUAAAUAUGUAUGUACCAGAAAAUCACAUUCUAUAUGGGGGGGGGGGUUCAGCAGGUGUUCACUUAUAUCCAAGCUUUUAGCCAUCCACAGGAGUUCUUGAAUGUAUCCCCCUCAGAUAAUUUAGAUCAAACUUAACAGUGUAUUAUGCAUGGGUUUGUUUUUGUUUUUGUUUUUUUUGAAAGCUGGUUGUUAAACCCCUGCCUAAUACACUUCAUACCCUCCUGAACAUCACCUUCAGAUGACUCUUACAGCCUGCCUCUUCCAUGCGUUCUCAUAUGCUGCUGAAUGAAUUUUGGGAGCAUCGUACAACCAUGCCAUCUGUGUCUACUACAAAUUGAUGUUAUCUCAUCUCAACUGGAUCCUUAUUGUAGGAAGAUACUGCCUUUGGGCAUGAACUUGGUAGGACUUCUGCUAUGGAGGGACUGAGCUAAAUUGUGAACCAGAGUAGUAUGGGGGAGAUUAUGCCCAUGAGAUGUUUGAAGAAAUG